rfam:Oryza glumipatula chromosome 12, whole genome shotgun sequence.
UCUAAGUGUAGUUGUGGGUUUCUACGUCCAACGUUUGACGAUCCGUCUUAUUUGAAUUUUUUUAUGAUUAAUAAUAAUAAUAUUAUUAUUAGAUAAUAAAACAUUAAUAGUAUUUUAUGUAUAACUUAUCUUUUUAAUUUUUUUAAAUAAGACGGGACGGCAGUUAAACGUUGGACAUAAAACCCCCACAACCGCACUUAAA